GAAACAUCUCAGUACCCACAGGAAAAGAAAACAACAGUGAUUCCGUGAGUAGUGGCGAGCGAAAGCGGAUGUAGGCUAAACCGUGUACGUGUCAAGCCGGCAGGCGUUGCGUAUGCGGGGUCGUGGGACCAUGAUUGCCAGUUCUGCCGAUCUGGCGGGAAGUCAUAAAGUCGCGUGUUAGUCGAACGGUUUUGGAAAAGCCGACCGUAGUGGGUGAGAGUCCCGUAGACGAAAGCAUGUGGCCUUCCUUUUGUGGAUCCCGAGUAGCAGCGAGCUCGUGAAAUUUGCUGUGAAUCUGGCGGGACCACCC
rnacentral:rRNA from 1 species